UGUUCUCAUCAUAUGUUCCUUUCGCCCUUCAGUGGGAAGGAGUAGCAAUUGACUUCAUUUACCAUCAUGCUUUGCGCGCCUUCUUUUCAGCAUGUGUUGCGCUGCUGUCUGUAAACUAUGGCUCAGUGAGGCUGCGGCUCUGCAUAGGGGAGCAUCACAAAAGCAGAGAAGCUUGUUGGAGCUGCUGCGGAGAUCAUCACCGCUCUGGACUUUACGAAAACAAACAAAAAGAAAAACCACCAUCCUCCAAUAUCGGAAAUAAUCAGCCUGAUUGCCAAAAAGUAAUUUAGCGCAAGGAUUCUUCCAGCGUAUUUGAAGGAUUAACAGCUAAUAUUUCAGCACUGACACAUGUGGAGGAGUCAGAAUGGCAACAGCCGAUGGAUUUAUAACUCCUUCUGUGGAUAGUUUGUUGUAUAUUAUGGGGAUUACUCUGUCCAGGACAACUGACGUUUGUUCGUGCCUCAGUACUGAUUUUGGACAAGUCGGUUGGGAUACUUGAGGUCCACGCAUGGUCAAGUGGUCAGUGCCAGAAACCAUCAGCGCUAUGUUACAAUUUUGGAAAUCCAUAGCGUGCGUGUUGUUGUUGGCUUCACAUAAGGAAAGACCGAGUUUAUCCUGGAAUAUAUUUUUAAAGCGGCGCUCAGCGGAUGUUCCAGUUAUUUGGGUAACAUCACUAUGGAUAUCUUAAACCAGCAGUGAAGGAAUUCACAUUCUUGGAAGAAGAUGUCAGUCUUUAAUUGCCUCCCAGGGAUGUUUUGGUGACCUCAGGUGAUCAUCAAGAAAAGGCUGACUAAUGAAAACAUGAUCUCAACAGAUUAAACAGGAUCACACUAAAUCCUGGCUUGGACCAUGGACCAGCACCUCCUGCAGCAGAUGUUUGCUCCUGGCAUGGCUGCUGACAGCAUGAGCUCCAUCACUGACAAUCUAACUCUCAAGAUCCAGACAGAAACUCUAACUUGGAAAAGCUGUGACUUCAACUCAGCAGGACAGCGGAGUGUAUUCUGCUGCCUAAACAUUGUGGAACGGAUCACUUGACGUCUGGAGAAGCACUCAUUGGGAAAGUCACUGUAAUGAGUACAGAUUGGCCAUUGCUACUUGUGUCCAUUUACAUAUAGCUUGACUUGUCAACUAUGUGGAAUCCUGGUUUAUAUUUUCCUGUACAUACAUGCUUUUAAUUUCCAGAAUUUCCAGAAUUUAUUCAUAUAAUUGCCUGUGACUGUAACACUAAGUCAAUAUCAAGUGCUGGAAGGAGGACAUGCCAUCUUGUGUAUGGUGGACAGGGCUGCAAGUGUAGCCUCGCUCACAGCGCAGUGUGGUUACCGUCCCUCAGUUUUAAUUGCAAACAACACACACUUCACAAGCAUUCAUGGGUGGGGGAGGUGAGGGCAAUGGGGUCAUCUCACACUCCUGUUUCCUGGGUACCACCAGGGGUAGGCAGAGGGCGACAGUUGCACCACGGGGCCGGUGUCCAGGCUGGCUGCGCUGACGGGGUGUGGGUGGGGCUCUGGCUGGGGCUCUCCUCUUCCACCUAUGGGUCUGGGGUUGUUUUCAUGGUAGGGUGGCUUGCUCUGGGAUUGCUGCUGAUUUCCCGGGGGCCUCCGUAGAGAUGUAGUCGAAUUUGCAUGAUCACACUCAUCUCUGAUCACUCCUUAUUCCUCAUGCUCUGCAUGUUGACACAGUCACUGAGUUGUACAGUGGGUUCAUACAUUAAGAGCUACUUUUGUUUCACAUAC